AAUUAGGUUUCUAUAGGGUUAAUUGAGAUCAAACCCUAACAUAUAUCAAAACCCCCAUUAUGAAUCCUAGAUUUUAUCUAUUGCAAGAAUACACUAUAUAAACCUUGGAUUCAAGCAUAAACAUCUCAUUAGCAUGCUAGGGUUCCUACGAAACCAAAUCUAGAGCUUAAAAUCAACACCCUAGAGAUCUACUAUUGUUAAGCAUCAAAGCUUACCUCAAUCAACUCCUCCAAUGGUGAGGAAGAAGAUGAGAGGAAGAAGCUUCUUCUUCCUAGCCUCCUUCUCCUUCUUUCCCUCCUCCAAGAUCCAUCCUCUUUGAGAGAGAGAGAGAGAGUUUAGAGAGAGAGAGUGUGUGUUCUUUUGGGUUAAGACAUGAGAAAUUAAUGAGGGAGAGAGAGGAAGCCCUUGCUUCUAUACCCUCUCAUAAAUACAAAAUUGCUGAAAACACCCUCAACAAUGCCUCUCUUGCAACAGCCCAAACUGGGCAUUUUCGGGCUACGGGGACCGGUCCUUGCAUGAGGGACCGGACUCUCAAGGACCGGUCCUUGGUUGAGGGACCCGUCACCGUAGGUCCAAAAUUCCAGACUUAGCCAAAUUUCAGCCUUUUUCGUUUAUUCUCCGUUUUCGCUCGUUUUUACUCGUUUGGUCUCCGAUUCAUUUCAAAUCUAACUGAGACUCCCAAAACAUGUUUUCGAGCGUAUUUACAUCAUCUUUUCAUCCACACAAAUGCCGGAUUUAGUUUACGGCCCAACAUGGCCUUUCGGAUUCCAUUUUCGCGCCUAUGCGCACCGAAAUGCCCGAAUACACCCGAACUUCACCGAACUUCACUAGAACCAUUCAAAUGGCUCUCUAAAUCAAUAUACUCCGUAACUUCAUAAUUUUAGAAGUCCGGUACCUUACAGGCGAGGUUGGAAGCGAUGAGGGCGGGGGAUGCAUAGGCGCAAGUGAGGCUGAAGGUGAGGGCAAAAGUUGCACUCUUUGAACGAAAAUUAUACUCUUUGAACGAAAGUUGCACUCUUUGGGAAAAAAUUACACUGUUUCUCCUUUUCCUCCUCUUUCUUCGCCUUCCUCUUUGUUUUUGUAUGUUUCUUCUCCGCCGAUCUCUUCUUCACUCUCCACCUCCGUCGAUAGAUCCUCCACCCUCGCCGAGGCCACGCCGCACCGCCCUCAUCGCCUCCAACCUUGCCGAGGCCAUGCCGCCCCACCCUCUUCAUUCACGCCCUGCCCUUCUUACCUCCAAUCCCGCCGAGGCCACACCAUGACCUUUUUUUUCUUUUUGACCCCCCUCAACUGCCGAAAAAGGAAGAAAAGAAGAGGGUCAAAGAGAGAUGGGUGGAGAAUUUGCCAAUGGAGGUGAAGGGCGAAGAAGAGAUGGGCGGAGAAAAAACACACGAAAACAAAGAAAAAUAAGAAGAAAGAAGGGAAAGAUGAGAAACAGUGUAACUUUUGCCCAAAGAAUGCAAUUUUCGUUCAAAGAGUGCAAUUUUCAUUCAAAAAAUUUAAGUUUUCUCUUAAAGAGUGUAAGUUUUCUCUAAAAUAAUGCAAUUUUUUUUUGAAACAGUGCAACAUUCUCUUGAAACAGUGCUACUUCAUCAUCUUCUUCUUAUCUUUUGAUUCUUCAUUUUUCUUUAUGUUUAUUAUUUAUUCUUUUUAUUUUUUUAUUUUUUGCAUUUAAUUUUCUCUGCUUCGCUCUCACUCGCACUUUGCUCCAAGUUCUUCUUUUUCAGCGCUGGUGCCGGCGCCGGCGCCGGCGAAGGCGGAGGAAGACGAUGCGACGCUGUCCUCAUUACCGUCGUGGAGGGUUGCGGAGGUGGUGGAGGUGGGUUGAAGAGAAAAAAAAAACGAGAGAAAAAAGAAGAGGAAGAUGAUGUAACGUUGUUCUCUUUACAAUUGUACUAUUGUAAAAAAACGGGGAGGCAGUGGAGGAGGGUCGGAGAGAAAAAAAAGAGAGUCACGGUACAGCCUCGCUGGGGUCGGAGGCGAGGAAGGCGGAGGGAGAGUGCGAGAGCGAGGGCGAGGGCGUGCGGAACAGAGGCAAGGUGGGCUACCUCGACAUUCGCCACCCUCUUCAGAGAGAGAGAGAGAAAAGAACGAGAGAAAAAAAGAGAGAGAAAAGAGAAUAAGAGUAUUUUGGUUAGUUUUCUGAAAAUCUGGCCCAAAUUUGCAAAAUUUAAAAAGCCGACCUACUUUUGCAAAAGCUAAAAACUGAUGAAUUUCUUAUGCAAAUAUGCCUUAUUUUAUUGUAUUGUAUUUUAUUUAUUAGGACAGAAAUUGUAUUGAAAAAGGCGGCUCGAAUUUAUAAAAUCCGAAAAGGCAGCCUACUUUUGCAAAAGCUCAAAAGUAAUGAAUUUUUUUAUGCAAAUUGGCCUUAUUUUAUUGUAUUGUAUUUUAUUUAUUAGGGAAAAAUUAUAUUCAAAAUUUAUUUAUAUUUUAUUUAAAAUUGCGAGAAAAUUAUGUAGUAAAAAUGUACGAUAAAAAAAUUAUUACAUUAUUUCAUACGGCAUUAUCAUAAUAAAUUAAUUAUUACAAUAUAUUUUUUAUAACUCCAUCGAAAAAUACACUAUAUUCGUGUGAAAUCACAAUUUCUAUUAGCCACGUGGCGAAUCUGGGGAGCGGAAGGCGGAGGCGGCAGGGGUGGGGGUGGGUGUGGGCCCCUGCCGGAUAUGGUUGGGACUUGUCAGCAAUUUUUUAUUUUAUUUUUAAUUAUUUUCUCUUCAAUAAUUUGAAGUAAGAAAAUUUGAUUUUUUUAAUCAAAUCAAAUUGUUAAAUAAUUUAAAUUAUAUGUAUUAAACAUAAAUUUUGAUCUUGUAAUAUUGAUCACUUAGAUAUAAAUCAUACGAUUAAAAAUAAAAAAGAGAUUAAUGGAGUUUAAAUUAAUACUUAUUGUAAUAAAUUUAGUUGUGAAAUUUACAUAAAAUAUAUUAACUAAAUCUGUAAAACCAAAUGAUGCAUUCAAAUUUAAAGUUAACAUAUCAUUGACUCAUUGAAAUCUAACAUGUAGAAAUAUUGAAUAAUAAAAACAAAAUUUUGAAAGGUUAGAUAACUCAGUCAAAAUAGUUUAUAAUUCAAAAAAAAUUAUAUACAUUUUUAUUUUUAUUUUAAUUUCAAAUUUCAAUGUCAUAUUUAUUGUAGUAUCCCUGAUUUUUGGGUUGCCCGUGAAUUUCAGCAUCUGAGGCUUGUCAACACAUCUGGAGAGUGUCGGGAUAAGUCCGAGUCGUUUCGGCGUGAAAUGGACGCAAAACGGACUCAGCGCGACGCGAGAGCAGAGUUUUGACAUUGGAAUUCGCAAAGUGCAGAUUUUCAGUGUUGAGUACCGGUACCACGCAGGGGAGUACCGGUACCCCAGUGUAUUUCCAGAAUAGACUGCUCUCGGGUUUGCCAAUUUGGUGCUGAGUACCGGUAGAGCAUCAGGCUGGUAUCGGUACCCAGUGUGCGAGCUGCGGGUUGAAUGCCCGAGUACCGGUACCCAAGUGGAGUACCGGUACUCCAGCUGGAAUUGGGAGUUGGUGAGGGGCUUUUUAGUCUUUUAAAGUGAUGUUAAUUUCCAUCCUUCCCCACAGCUUUAUGUAGGAUAGAGAGGCAGUGAGAGAGCUUCUGGUUACUACUUCCUCUCUCUCUAGGUUGGAACCGAGUGCUUGGUGGAGGUCACGGUUUGAGCUCGGAUCAACGUCGACGUUGCGCCGGGGAGUCGUUCGAGCGUGUGGACAUCACGGUUGCGCCAUUGGAGGCCGGGCGAGCGUGUGUUUUCCCUUCUCUUGACUUCCCGUCAUAGUUGGACUAGCUUUUAGAGGUGGGUUAAAGUUUACCAAAAUCGUCGGAAUAUCUUCUAAGUUUUAGCAUCAUCGACAUGUAUCAAUUGUGUAGUUUCUUGCUAGUACUCGAAUUCAUGGAUUCGUGUUUAAAUCUGAAUUUGGAGUUAAGCUAGUACUUUAAUUUUACAUGUUGGACUUGGAAUUUACUUAGAAGAAAACUAUUAGAUUCUACACUGUCACUUUAUGAAAACUACCAGAUUUAGCUUUAGGAGUUGUAGUUUAUUUAUAUCGCCGUAGUUUGUAUGCGGUGUAUAUCCAGAAUAGUGUAGAAUGAAUUUACGCUCGUGCUGGAAUGCUGAGUUUAUUUUUACAGUAGUGUGUAGACUGUUUCGGACUGUCGGGUGCCUUCGCGGUUGACGGUGGACCCAGAUUUCUGUAUUUACAUCAGAUUGUGCCAAGGGCACGUGAGUUUUGGUUGUUAGACCAGUUAGACCCAAUUGCUUUGAUUAUAGCCUGUGAGAGCCUGAUUGAGCUCGGCAGAGACACGCUUGUAUACUCGGUUGGGUAGCGCCCACGAGUGCCACUCCGGAGUCGGGCUUUGUGCGUCUGCGUUGAUGUCGUAGGGUCCUGGUUGGACUUGCUCUCCACCAACAACCCAGCGUGGUGGUAGUUGGUGUAGCUUCGGCAGGCGGGACCGGUGCAUUUAGUCCCUAGUGAGAUUGGAUUAGAGUUUGUAUCAUGUUUACAUCUACAGAUAGCUAGUAUUGGUUAGCGAUAAUAUAGUGGCAUAUAACUGUAGGGUUUGUAUCAGCU
rnacentral:lncRNA from 1 species